rnacentral:SRP_RNA from 1 species
UGGUGGGCUAGGCCGGGGGGUUCGGCGUCCCCUGUAACCCGAAACCGUCGAUAUGCGGGGGCCGAAGCCGAGGGAAGGUCCGUUGAGCGGGGUUAACUGUCAGGUGUGGUCUCGUAGAGUCCCCGUCCCGAAGGGUCGGCGGUCACGGUUGGUGCAUUUGGAGGAAUGCACCGCCGUGUUUGUCGGGGGGAACGGCUUAGGCCCGGAAGGGAGCAAGCUUACCCCGAACGUUCGGCGCUUUCGGGGGUGCGGGGAGGAGAGAUCAUACCUGACAGGAUCCCGUAAGACGGAUCGACCCAAGGCGUGCCCACCA